CUUGAAGAAGCUCAGGGGACUGCGGGCUCAACGUCGGAGGGGGCAUCAACGAUAAUGGCUGCCUGGGCAAGCAUGACCGAGCUUGUCUCCUCUACCCUCACCUUCUUUACCGACCCAGAAGUUGUGGCACCUUUCUUCUUGUGGGCCUUGAGACCCUUGGCAAGUAUCUGAGCUACGUCUGCAUCCAUGUCUGCAAUGAAAAA
rnacentral:lncRNA from 1 species